UCAAAUCUCUCUUCUCUUGUUCUUUUGUCACCUCACUGAAGUGAGUUCCACCUGUAGGAAAGACUUUUGUAACUGAGUCUUUUGCGUGUGCUGUGAACCAGCAUUGCACAGAUUUUCAGGUUACUUUAGUGAGGAUUUGCUUUAAAACAAGUAGCAAACCCUUCUUUGCUGAUAACAAGACAAAUGUCAUACAGCUGCUGGAACCAAUCCAUUUAAGAAUUUUCAACUCAGGUAAAUCUUCAGUAGCUAAUUAAGAGACCAUCUCCUAGGCUUAAUUAAAUCCUCUACAUAAAAUUACUGUACAGAGGGCUUUCUAACUGUCAGAUUAACCCUGUCUGAUAUAAUUAAGGUGGAAAAUGAAAUUGUAAUCAAAUAAGAAAUAGAUUUUGUGUGCUUUAUAAACAGUACCUGGACACUGACGGAUCUGUAGCAGCAGGAGAACAGAAGUAUAAUGGUAUGGACAUACAGCCUUGUGCACUCUCUAAGGUGAAAGGUAAACAAUGUACGGUGUCUGCAUAACACCCUAAGGGACAGACAACACAGUUUGGUGAUGCCUCUAGCAGAAGAAAGAGAAGAGAGGUUCAAUGUUUGCAGCUUUCACAUGGGGUCUUGCCUACAGAACAGCAAGCCUUGUGCUGCCAGCAGCUUCAGGUGGAAAACAGUGCAAGAUGCUCUCACAGUGAACUCCAACUCAAUUAUAUUCCUAUCCUUCUUGAACUGGGGAACCCAGAAGUGGACAUAAUACUCCAGAUGUUGUCAGAAGACAGAGCAGAGGG